rnacentral:rRNA from 1 species
CUGCCUACGGGGGGCAGCAGUGGGGAAUAUUGGACAAUGGGGGAAACCCUGAUCCAGCGACGCCGCGUGAGUGAAGAAGUAUUGCGGUAUGUAAAGCUCUAUCAGCAGGGAAGAAAAUGACGGUACCUGACUAAGAAGCCCCGGCUAACUACGUGCCAGCAGCCGCGGUAAUACGUAGGGGGCAAGCGUUAUCCGGAUUUACUGGGGGUAAAGGGAGCGUAGACGGCAGGGCAAGUCUGGAGUGAA